CCGGCCGCGGGCCCGGGCGUGGGCCCCGCUCUGCGCUACUCUGUGGUCGCGGGCGAGUGACGCCACCUCUUGGCCCGCAGCGUGCUCUCUAGUCAGCACCUGUUUCUGGGACAUCUAAGGUGAAACCGGCUAGACUCAAAGGUGGUCAUGGAAGCAACACGCACAUAAUUUACCCGUUCUUACCAUUUUGCCGCAUUUACAUCCUCCUUGAAGAGAGAGAACAAGCCAUAAAUCGAGCAGGUAUCGUUC